CCUACGGGAGGCAGCAGUCGAGAAUCAUUCACAAUGGGGGAAACCCUGAUGGUGCGACGCCGCGUGGGGGAAUGAAGUUCUUCGGAUUGUAAACCCCUGUCAUGUGGGAGCAAAUUAAAAAGAUCGUACCACACGAGGAAGAGACGGCUAACUCUGUGCCAGCAGCCGCGGUAAUACAGAGGUCUCAAGCGUUGUUCGGAAUCACUGGGCGUAAAGCGUGCGUAGGCUGUUUCGUAAGUCGUGUGUGAAAGGCGCGGGCUCAACCCGCGGACGGCACAUGAUACUGCGAGACUAGAGUAAUGGAGGGGGAACCGGAAUUCUCGGUGUAGCAGUGAAAUGCGUAGAUAUCGAGAGGAACACUCGUGGCGAAGGCGGGUUCCUGGACAUUAACUGACGCUGAGGCACGAAGGCCAGGGGAGCGAAAGGGAUUAGAUACCCGAGUAGUC
rnacentral:rRNA from 1 species